rnacentral:snRNA from 1 species
AUUGCUUCUUGGCCUUUUGGCUAAGGUUAAGUAGAGUAUCUG